ACUUCAGGAUUUCUUACAUUUUAGUGGCAACAGAUUAGAAAUAGGCUUUUUACUUUUCUACUCUGAACUGAUAGGGAAAAUCACCUCGUUACUGUGUCUUUCAGAAGUGGACUGACUUUCUUGAAGCUGAAUGUGGUUUGGACAGUUACAUUCUUUCCAUGAUGGCAUGGAGUCAGCUUCUUUGAUGAGGAUUAGCAUAUAAAGCCAGGUUUUCCAUGAAAAUGCUACUAGAAUCUUCACAUUUCAAGGAAUUCUGAUCUUUAUUAAAAUUAUUAUAGGCAGCACUCUCAAAGAUUUUUUUUCACUUAUUCCUUUCCAGAGAAACAUUUUACUUCCUGAAAAGCCUGGAAAUUCAGCUUUAAAUUGUUUUGUUUGUUUCUGUUUACCAAUGGUAUUCUCCUUCUAAAAGAGAAGCCCACAUCUCCCCAAAAUGAAAUCACUGCUGUGUCAAGUGAGCUAAAAUGAGAACCACAUGAAGAUAAGAUAGAUUUUUAUCAUGCUGCUACACUUUUUCAGAUUUUAUGCCUUCCCUGAUGCUGGAAUCAGAAAUUUACAACUAAUCAGCUUUAUUCCACGACUGAGGGAUAAAGUGGACUAAGUUCUGAAACCUCGACAAGCUGUAAAUCACAAUGACCUUCCCUCCUUAUAAUUGAUUCAUGUCUUUAUAAGAAGAGUCACCAGAAUGGAUGUUCACAAAGAAAAUACUACAUGAGGACACAACAAGAAAAUAAUUAUUUGCAAGUCAAGCAAAGAGGACUGAGGAGAAACAAAACUUGGUGCUCCUCAACUUUUACUAUCAGCCAU